rnacentral:rRNA from 1 species
ACUCCAGGGAGACUGCCGGUGAUAAACCGGAGGAAGGUGGGGACGACGUCAAGUCAUCAUGGCCCUUACGAGUAGGGCUACACACGUGCUACAAUGGCGCAUACAGAGGGCAGCCAACUUGCGAAAGUGAGCGAAUCCCAAAAAGUGCGUCGUAGUCCGGAUUGGAGUCUGCAACUCGACUCCAUGAAGUCGGAAUCGCUAGUAAUCGUGGAUCAGAAUGCCACGGUGAAUACGUUCCCGGGCCUUGUACACACCGCCCGUCACACCAUGGGAGUGGGCUGCAAAAGAAGUAGGUAGUUUAACCUUCGGGGGGACGCUUACCACUUUGUGGUUCAUGACUGGGGUGAAGUCGUAACAAGGUAGCGCUAGGGGAACCUGGCGCUGGAUCACCUCCUUA